rnacentral:rRNA from 1 species
UACGUAGGGGGCAAGCGUUGUCCGGAAUCAUUGGGCGUAAAGCGCGUGUAGGCGGCUCGGUAAGUCUGCUGUGAAAGUCCAGGGCUCAACCCUGGGAUGCCGGUGGAUACUGUCGAGCUCGAGUCCGGAAGAGGCGAGUGGAAUUCCCGGUGUAGCGGUGAAAUGCGCAGAUAUCGGGAGGAACACCAAUGGCGAAGGCAGCUCGCUGGGACGUGACUGACGCUGAGACGGCGAAAGCGUGGGGAGCAACAGG